rnacentral:tRNA from 1 species
GGGCCUGUGGUUCAACGGCACAACGCUACAUUCGCAUUGUAGAGAUGGCGGUUCAAUUCCGCCCAGGUCCA